UGGACUUUUCAUGAGAAACACUGUUCAGGAGCACAGUGCAUUUCGAUUUGCUGUGCAGCUAUAUAACACAAACCAAAAUACCACAGAAAAGCCCUUCCAUUUGAACUAUCACGUAGAUCACUUGGACUCUUCCAACAGUUUUUCAGUGACAAAUGCUUUCUGUUCACAGUUUUCCAGGGGAGUUUAUGCCAUCUUUGGAUUCUAUGACCAGAUGUCAAUGAACACCCUGACAUCAUUCUGUGGAGCCCUUCACACGUCCUUCAUCACACCGAGCUUCCCAACAGAUGCAGAUGUGCAGUUCGUCAUCCAGAUGCGGCCAGCAUUAAAAGGAGCCAUCUUGAGUCUCUUGACUUACUAUAAGUGGGAAAAGUUUGUGUACCUCUAUGACACAGAACGGGGAUUUUCCAUUCUUCAGGCAAUUAUGGAAGCUGCAGUACAGAACAACUGGCAAGUGACAGCCAGAUCUGUAGGAAGCAUAAAAGAUGUUCAAGAGUUCAGAAGAAUUAUAGAGGAGAUGGACAGACGGCAAGAAAAAAGAUACUUAAUUGACUGUGAAGUAGACAGAAUCAACACCAUUUUGGAACAGGUUGUAGUCCUCGGCAAACAUUCUAGAGGCUAUCACUACAUGUUAGCUAACCUGGGUUUCACAGACAUUGUUCUGGAGAGAGUAAUGCAUGGAGGUGCCAACAUUACUGGAUUCCAGAUUGUUAAUAAUGAAAACCCAAUGGUACAACAGUUUCUACAGCGUUGGAUGAGGCUUGAUGAAAGGGAAUUCCCUGAAGCUAAAAACUCACCAUUAAAGUACACGUCUGCACUGACCCAUGAUGCAGUCCUGGUCAUAGCAGAGGCUUUCCGGUACCUCCGAAGGCAGCGUGUUGAUGUCUCCAGGAGAGGCAGUGCUGGAGACUGCCUGGCUAACCCUGCAGUGCCAUGGAGCCAAGGAAUUGAUAUAGAAAGAGCACUUAAAAUGGUGCAAGUUCAAGGAAUGACAGGGAACAUCCAGUUCGACACCUAUGGGCGGAGAACAAAUUACACAAUUGAUGUGUAUGAAAUGAAAGCUGCUGGAUCACGGAAGGCUGGUUAUUGGAAUGAAUAUGAAAGAUAUGUACCAGCAUUAGAUCAGCUGCCCUCUAAUGACACUUCAUCUGUGGAGAACAGAACUAUAGUAGUAACUACCAUCUUGGAAUCACCAUAUGUAAUGUAUAAGAAAAACCAUGAACAACUAGAAGGGAAUGAGAGAUAUGAAGGAUAUUGUGUAGACUUAGCUUCUGAAAUAGCAAAACAUGUUGGAAUAAAAUACAAACUGUCAAUUGUUGGAGAUGGGAAAUAUGGAGCUAGGGACCCUGAGACUAAGAUAUGGAAUGGCAUGGUGGGUGAACUGGUCUAUGGGAGAGCAGAUAUAGCUGUUGCCCCCCUCACCAUAACAUUGGUGCGAGAAGAAGUCAUAGACUUUUCCAAACCCUUUAUGAGCCUGGGUAUCUCCAUCAUGAUCAAGAAGCCUCAGAAAUCUAAACCGGGCGUAUUCUCUUUCCUGGAUCCUUUGGCUUAUGAAAUUUGGAUGUGUAUAGUCUUUGCUUACAUUGGCGUCAGCGUAGUUCUUUUCCUAGUCAGCAGAUUCAGCCCUUAUGAGUGGCACUUGGAAGACAACACUGAAGAACCACGUGACCCUCAGAAUCCUCCUGACCCUCCAAAUGAGUUUGGAAUAUUUAACAGCCUUUGGUUUUCCCUGGGUGCCUUUAUGCAGCAAGGAUGCGAUAUUUCUCCAAGAUCUCUCUCAGGGCGAAUUGUUGGAGGAGUCUGGUGGUUCUUCACUCUCAUCAUUAUCUCUUCCUACACUGCUAAUCUCGCUGCCUUCCUUACGGUGGAAAGGAUGGUUUCACCCAUAGAGAGUGCAGAGGACCUGGCUAAACAAACUGAAAUAGCCUAUGGCACUUUGGAUUCAGGCUCAACCAAAGAAUUCUUUAGAAGGUCAAAAAUAGCUGUCUAUGAGAAAAUGUGGUCAUACAUGAAGUCGGCUGAGCCCUCGGUGUUCACCAAGACAACAGCGGAUGGAGUGGCGAGGGUGCGGAAGUCCAAGGGGAAAUUUGCCUUCCUGCUGGAGUCCACGAUGAAUGAGUACAUCGAGCAGCGCAAGCCCUGCGACACCAUGAAAGUUGGAGGAAACCUGGAUUCCAAGGGCUAUGGUGUAGCAACCCCCAAAGGCUCAGCAUUAAGAACUCCUGUAAACCUUGCAGUAUUGAAACUCAGUGAACAAGGCAUCUUAGACAAGCUGAAAAACAAAUGGUGGUACGAUAAGGGUGAAUGUGGAGCCAAGGACUCCGGAAGUAAGGUCAGUCACUGAAGGUCUUUUUGUACUGAUUAGCAAUCACAUUUUGACCCACUGUUUGUUUAUACCAAGAAUGACUUUCAAAAAUUGCUAUUUACAUUUUGAAGGAUGAAAGAAAAGAAUAGAAAAAAAUAAGUAAGUCUCAGAACUUGACAGCAUAUUUCUUAUAUGCAGUAACAGACUGUAGUUGUAAGUAUGUUUCACUGUGUGAGUAUUUUGCUAGAAACAUGCUAAGAGAAGCCCCCAAAGCCUUUCAAGCUGGUGUCUUCAUUUAAAUGUGCAAGUUUUAGCACAGUCACUGUCUAUUAUUCAGGCCAGCAUAUUUUCUUAUUUUUAUUGAAAAAACACAUUUUUGUUUCAAAAUUAUUACUUAGGUUCUCUACAUGUCAGUUUGGGAAACAGUCACAUGCUUGCUAAGGGCACAAAUUUUCAGGACAGACAGCUGAUAAAGAAAAAGUGCCUUUCCUGCCCUAAUUGCCAAUUCAUUUUGAAAUUGGUUGGAUUUAAAAAAAAUAAAUCUAGAAAUACUAAUGGUUAAUCAUUACCUAAAUAUUGUAUAUUCCUUUUUAUACUGCUUUGAACCAUUUUGCUGCUGUACUAUCCUGUCAUCCACCAGUCAUGCUAUGGGGCUGCCACUGUUAGACCCUAGGGCAGGUCCCACCCCUGAGGUCAAUCGGCCCAGUAGCUGCACACUGAAAUUGUAGGGAAUAUUUAUUUACACCAUUCAGUCAAAAGGAGGAUUUUUAUUUUUUUUUAUGCUUAUAGACCCACUGGGGAGAAAAACUCUGUAAAGUGCUGGGCUUGUUGAAGUGAAGGACAUUUUCAAAGGCACCAAGAGGAGGAGGAAUCCAGUUCCAGCUGAAAUCGGUCGCAGUUGAGUGCCUAACUCCCCUGGUGCCUUUGGAAGUGCUCUCUGUAAUCAUUCAAACAGAAAACUAUAAUUUCAAAGCACCCUUUCAGUGAUGGAGGACAUCAAGUUUCAGUGAAGCCAAUAAUAAAAUUUCAUUGAUUUCAGUAGGGCUGGAAGUUGCUUAGGGCACAACCCAGUAGCUGUCGUAGUAGAUAAAUUUGGGAUCAUGGGAUAUCUGAACACACAGCAGCUGCCAGAGGAACUGUGAUUGAAAAGAGGUAUAAAUGAUUAAGAUCUUUAGUUUAAAUGGGGUUGUUUGCUACAACCACACAUACCAAACUGCCUGUGAAACACACAUACAAGGUAGAUGAUAUUUUGCUCUGAUUAUAUGCAAAUUUAGCUCUCCCUAGAGAGAUUCGUUAACCAAGCUGUGUCAGCAGCGUCUUCUCUGGGCACAGACAAAUUUCUCUGGCACCUGCCCAUCCACCCAGCCAGUGUGGCGUGGCAGCCCAGCCAGCUGUGCCAGCCAGGAGCUGUUCCUGCCCACAGCCACCCACCCAUGCAGCAGCAGAAGGGUUGCAGCUCUACUUAAUCCCAUUCCAGAACCCUGUUCUACAAAAUGCAAGCUUCUCCCCAUCUGACAUGUAUUGAAGGAACAUAAACCCUGACCAGUGAUUUUUGUGUCACAAUAUCUGGUUUCAUUCAAUAACUCACUCUACAGAAGGUGCUAGUUUAUUUAGCUCAGGGCUCUGCUAUUUGACCUCUAAGUAACUGACCAUCUUUAUAGGGUGGGCUUUUUUCCUUAACUGUUGUAAAAAGGUAGUUAAGUUUAGCAGCAUCUCAAGAAUUUUACCUACAUUGGCCAAACCGAAGUCUGUAGUGGUUUGGCUUUUUCUUUUCUAGUUUUGACAUGGCCUUCUGUAAAUCCUGCUGUUUUAUGCAGCCACCGGCAAACUUUUCCCCGAGUGCCUUUGCUACCAGGGAUGCUCGGCUAUAGGCAAUCUUGCUCUGGGACACCGAAGGCCUGGGGAAGUCAGUGGCCAAAAAAACCUCAUUGCCUUGGAGUCAGCCAGGGUUUCACCCGCCACAGGGUGGAGGACAGAGCAGUCACUGCUGUGCAGCCCCAGGCUGUGGGGAUGGGGGGACAGCACUGGUCCAUGGGCCAGACACUGAACACUGUGAGUGUAGCUAUUCCAGCUAGGGCUAAUACAAAGUAGCCUGUUGUCUGUCUGUCUGUCUGUCUGCUCCUCACAGCAGAACUAACAGCGUGGCUCGUUUCUCUUAGGACAAGACAAGCGCUCUGAGCCUGAGCAAUGUUGCUGGCGUGUUCUAUAUCCUUGUGGGAGGCCUGGGGCUGGCCAUGAUGGUGGCACUGAUUGAGUUCUGCUACAAGUCUCGGGCUGAGUCCAAGCGAAUGAAACUCACCAAGAACACGCAGAACUUCAAACCUGCUCCCACCACCAACACCCAGAAUUACGCUACCUACAGAGAAGGCUACAACGUGUACGGCACAGAAAGUGUGAAAAUCUAGGGAUCUUCACCCUGACAGCAUGCA